GGGGCAGCCCUGGACUAAAAAGUAAAACAUUGCUGUUUUUCAUUUGAUAUACUUUUUUCCAUCCCAAUAGCCUAAAAGUAAUUAGAUUGUUAAGUAAAAAUACAUUUUGUAAAUUGUGUGUGUCCUUCAAUCUAUUUUUUUAGAUUGAUACAAUAUAAAAGUAUAACAUAACAAUAAAAUUCAAAUUAUACAUUCGAUCAAAUGACUUUUAUCGAUCAAGCACGAUUCGCGCAAACAUGAAAACUCGAGAGAAACUUCUGGAAGAAGACACCAAGGAAGACACCACUUGAGUGGAUGGUUGUGUUUGGCAGAACAAGAGGACACUUUGUCAGGGAAGCUGCUGCUUGGUUUGCAUAUUUCCUGGUGCCUAGUAGUUUGGGUUGCUCGAGUUCCUGGCUGGUAGUUUUGGUUGUGUCCAAUCUUCGCUAACACUUGAUAUGCCAGGUGAUGGACUGGAGCUGGAUGGAAUGGCCGUCUUCAUCAGGGACACGGACACCAGGGUUCUCAUUAAGGGCACAGAGGUCCUCAAUAACUUCCCUCAACAGCAACUGCUGUGUCAAUGUUAUUUGGACUGGCAUAUGUGCUAAACCUUCAGUAUCCAAAAGAAUUGAAAUUCACUUUUGAAUUUUUCCAGAAAGUCUUAAUGGAACUUGACCCCAGAAAGAUGACCCCCAAAGUAUGUCGCCUCUGUACUCUGCUGCACAGUCAAUGACAGCCUCUAUUGAAUAUGUUAGCUUUGUAGAACACAUACACGGGAUAAUCCACAAUAUCUUUUGUAAUAGAAAUUCAGUAGUUGUUUGUUCACUGGAUGUGGUGCUAUUGCAAUUGAUGCUGUGGCUUUAAUCUUUUAUAUAUGUAUAUUUGUUAAUCCACAAUCAGUAUUACCGUGAGGGAAGCAGACCACUUGUUUUUAGAUCUUUGACAUUCUUAUUUUGCAGAACACACACAGGAUGGGAGAAGUUCAGUCUCCACUAUAUCUUUUGUAAUAGAAAUUCAGUAGUUGUUUGUUCACUGGAUGUGGUGCCAUUGCAAUUGAUGCUGUGGCUUUAAUCUUUUGUAUAUAUGUAUAUA